GUCCUUCCAACGUGACCAGAUAACCAAGAACGUCCCAGAUAGGUUCUCUAUUCGUAAUAUAUUGGUAACUUCAUGACUUACUGGCAACGUAACUACGACGUCGUUUGCACAUACUGUAUCAGGAGGACAGCGCGUUUGUUUGAGGCACUUUUCACUUCAACUGUGUCUGACCGGAGAAUUAGCUUUUCUGAGCCGUUGAGAGUUACCAUGGCAACCGCGGACACAUCAGCUGCUGGAGAGGAGAGGACGCGUCUGACACUUUCUCUGUUUCUCGUCAGUUAUACCAAAGAAAAGUUCAACAACUGCGACAGAUUGCUUAAUUUGUUUAUUUCUAAUAAGGAGCUGGAGGCCGUGGAGAAGCAGAUCCGUGACCUCGUGGAGAAGCAGGCUCAGCUGAGAGAGCGGAGAGCCGUGAUGGAAACAUUCAGGGGUUGAUGCUCAUAAGUCCAGUGUAAGUAUACAGCACGCUGCUAACUCUCCCACCACCUCUACUCUGUGUGGUUCUCUGCACAGGCCCGGUGUACCCAGGACGCAAUCUUCCCAGAUGUCCUUCACCCUGUGCCACAGCGGAAGACAUGAGCCAGGUCCUGGGGGACAACCUCUCUCCCCCCGUCGCCUCCGGUCUUCGGGAACUCCACUGGAAUCCGAUUUCCUCCACUUCACGAGACAGAACACGACUCUGUGUUCGUCGGAGACUCCAUCAUCCGGCAUAUUCGUGCUAUGUUAGCUGGAGGUAAUGUGCACACUCACUGUUUCCCUGGUGCUCGUGUUCUUGAUAUUUCUGCGCAGAUACCCGUGAUCCUGAAGGGUGAAGAGAGCAUCGGAGCGGUCGUGCUUCACGCCGGGGUUAACAACACCAAAGCUGCGGCAGACGCAGACACUAAAGAGGGACUUCAGGAGCCUGAUCGAGAUGGUGUGCAGCAUAUCGCCUGCACGAUGAUCAUCAUCUCAGCACCUUUUCUCAUGUAUAGAUGAGGACACGAAAGGUUCAGUAGAGUUUUUGCUCUAAAUGAAUGGUUAUUGUCAUGGUGUAAAGAACAGAAACUGCUCUUUGUUAAUAAUUGGAAUCUUUUCUGGAAGCGUCCUAGGCUUUUUCGCGCUGAUGGCCUGAACACCAGCAGAGUCGGAGCGGAGCUGCUCUCGGACAACAUCUCCAGGACUCUACGCUCCAUUUGACUAGGCAGUUUGUGAAGACAGAUAAUCAAGAGAUGUGACAAACUGUACAGAAGUCAGUUCCAGAUCCACCCUCCACACCAGACCUCUCUCAUAUGGACUGCUGUCUACUAGCAUACUUCGGUGGAUGCAGAUAUUACUCAGGGACAUGAACACUUGAAUAUUGCAAGCAUAGAGAAAGUAAGAAUUACUGAAGAUUUAAGAAUUUAAUAUUAAUUGCUUAAACAUUAUAUAUACUGUUUUAGCAAUUAACAUUAAUAGUUUUUUUUUUGUUUGUUUUUUUGGUGUCCAAAGCACCUAAAAGCCAAUUCACACCGCCAUACUCCAGCAGUUCAAACAAAAUAAGCAUGUUUUUUAAAUAGUUUUUUUGGCAGUGUGAACUGGCCAUAAUGCUGUAUGUUAGGUGUGAGAUUCAUUAAACCUGAUUUGCUAUAAUACAUCUGUUCAUAAGAUAUUGCAUAUGAUUUUCAGUUAAUUAUUUGUAGUGGUUUGGUUAAGGGUGCGAUUAGCUGAUGUAUUAUUGUGGGAGCAUGUGAUUAGUUGAUGUGUGCAUGGUUAAUGAUGGCUCUCUUAAAUAUUUAAAUGCAAUGGGCUGAGUGCCUACUAAGACUUGAAUAUUUGUGCAUAAUGUUUUGAUCCUGGAUGCUUACAGAAGGAUAUAGAUAUUUAAAUAUAUGGACAUUUAUUUAUUAUUAAUAUAUUUUAAUCUAUGUGCUUCUGUAUGGGCUGAAUGCUUUCAUUCAUAUUUUGCUGUAUAUCCUAUGUUUUUAUUAAUAAUUUGGGUGUAUUACUGGUCAUAUUUGUUUGUUAAUAAAUGAACUGAAU
ensembl:lncRNA